GUGUUGUCACAGCCAUGAUGGUCUAGAGAAUAUAAGCAAGAUGUUUUAGGCUCAUCUUCUGAUGACACGAAGAAGGGCAUUUUGUGUUUGAAAGCUUGUCUAGCAUCUCUCCCAACUGCAAAGCCUAUCCUUCUGAUGGACAGACAAGGUGUUUAAACGCAGAAAUCCUCCAACCUUUAAAAGUUCUGCUUUAAACAGUGAGCACCUAAGCUAUCUCAUGCAAGUCUGUUCAUGCAGCUACAUUAGCCAAACCUAGGACUGUGCGGAACACUUCUGGGCCCAUCCACCUCAAGCCUCGGCAACUCCCCAUGUUUCUGAACCAGCAGGUGCACUGUCUUCCACUUUUGCAAAAGCCCUGCAGUGAAUGGAAGCUUUGAAGUU